GGUCCGUUGGUCAAGGGGUUAAGACACCGCCUUUUCACGGCGGUAACACGGGUUCGAAUCCCGUACGGACCA
rnacentral:tRNA from 2 species